GACGAACGCUGGCGGCGUGCUUAACACAUGCAAGUCGAACGGAAAGGCCCUGCUUUUGCGUGGUGCUCGAGUGGCGAACGGGUGUGUAACACGUGAGUAACCUGCCCUUGACUUUGGGAUAACUUCAGGAAACUGGGGCUACUACCGGAUAGGAGCUCCUGAUGCAUGGGGGGGGUCGGAAAGCUUAGGCGGGUGGGGAUGGACUGGCGGCUUAUCAGCUUGUUGGUGGGGUAGUCGCUUACCCAGGCUUUGACGGGUAGUCGGCCUGGGAGGUGGAACGGGCACAUGGGGACUACGGGAGGGAGCAGAGUGGAAUGGUGGGCAGCAGGGGAGAAUCUGACACAAUGGGCGCAAGCGUGAGGCGGAGGCCCCCCGUGCGUGAUGACGGCCUUCUGGUGAUAAACCGCUUUCGCCUGUGACGAAGCGUGAUUGACGUUAAUGGGUAAAGAAGCACCGGCUAACUACGUG
rnacentral:rRNA from 1 species